GAUGAACGCUGGCGGCGUGCCUAAUACAUGCAAGUCGAGCGAACGGACGAGAAGCUUGCUUCUCUGAUGUUAGCGGCGGACGGGUGAGUAACACGUGGAUAACCUACCUAUAAGACUGGGAUAACUUCGGGAAACCGGAGCUAAUACCGGAUAAUAUUUUGAACCGCAUGGUUCAAAAGUGAAAGACGGUCUUGCUGUCACUUAUAGAUGGAUCCGCGCUGCAUUAGCUAGUUGGUAAGGUAACGGCUUACCAAGGCAACGAUGCAUAGCCGACCUGAGAGGGUGAUCGGCCACACUGGAACUGAGACACGGUCCAGACUCCUACGGGAGGCAGCAGUAGGGAAUCUUCCGCAAUGGGCGAAAGCCUGACGGAGCAACGCCGCGUGAGUGAUGAAGGUCUUCGGAUCGUAAAACUCUGUUAUUAGGGAAGAACAUAUGUGUAAGUAACUGUGCACAUCUUGACGGUACCUAAUCAGAAAGCCACGGCUAACUACGUGCCAGCAGCCGCGGUAAUACGUAGGUGGCAAGCGUUAUCCGGAAUUAUUGGGCGUAAAGCGCGCGUAGGCGGUUUUUUAAGUCUGAUGUGAAAGCCCACGGCUCAACCGUGGAGGGUCAUUGGAAACUGGAAAACUUGAGUGCAGAAGAGGAAAGUGGAAUUCCAUGUGUAGCGGUGAAAUGCGCAGAGAUAUGGAGGAACACCAGUGGCGAAGGCGACUUUCUGGUCUGUAACUGACGCUGAUGUGCGAAAGCGUGGGGAUCAAACAGGAUUAGAUACCCUGGUAGUCCACGCCGUAAACGAUGAGUGCUAAGUGUUAGGGGGUUUCCGCCCCUUAGUGCUGCAGCUAACGCAUUAAGCACUCCGCCUGGGGAGUACGACCGCAAGGUUGAAACUCAAAGGAAUUGACGGGGACCCGCACAAGCGGUGGAGCAUGUGGUUUAAUUCGAAGCAACGCGAAGAACCUUACCAAAUCUUGACAUCCUUUGACAACUCUAGAGAUAGAGCUUUCCCCUUCGGGGGACAAAGUGACAGGUGGUGCAUGGUUGCCGUCAGCUCGUGUCGUGAGAUGUUGGGUUAAGUCCCGCAACGAGCGCAACCCUUAAGCUUAGUUGCCAUCAUUAAGUUGGGCACUCUAAGUUGACUGCCGGUGACAAACCGGAGGAAGGUGGGGAUGGCGUCAAAUCAUCAUGCCCCUUAUGAUUGGGGCUACACACGUGCUACAAUGGACAAUACAAAGGGCAGCGAAACCGCGAGGUCAAGCAAAUCCCAUAAAGUUGUUCUCAGUUCGGAUUGUAGUCUGCAACUCGACUACAUGAAGCUGGAAUCGCUAGUAAUCGUAGAUCAGCAUGCUACGGUGAAUACGUUCCCGGGUCU
rnacentral:rRNA from 1 species